AACGAACGCUGGCGGCAUGCCUAACACAUGCAAGUCGAACGAGACCUUCGUGUCUAGUUGCGCACGGGUGCGUAACGCGUGGGAACCUGCCCGUAGGUUCGGAAUAACUCCCCGAAAGGGGUGCUAAUACCGGAUAAUUUCUGCGGACCAAAGAUAUAUCGCCUUUGGGUGGGCCCGCGUUGGAUUAGCUGGGUGGUAGUGUAAAAGCCUACCAAGGCGAGGAUCGAUAGCUGGGCAGAGAGGAAGAUCAGCCACACUGGGAGUGUGAAACGGGCGAGACUCUUACGCGAGGCAGGAGUGGGGAAUAUUGGAAUACGGCGGAGAGGAUGAAGCAGCUAUGCUGGGUGAGUGAUGUAGUUCGUAGAGAAGUACAGCAGUUUUAUCCGGGACUAUACUGACGGUACCGGAAGAAUAAGCACCGGCUAACUCCGUG
rnacentral:rRNA from 1 species